UACGUAGGUGGCAAGCGUUGUCCGGAUUUAUUGGGUUUAAAGGGUGCGUAGGCGGCGAUCUAAGUCAGUGCUGAAAUAUCCCGGCUUAACCGGGAGGGUGGCAUUGAUACUGGGUUGCUUGAGUAAAGUUGAGGUAGGCGGAAUUGACGGUGUAGCGGUGAAAUGCUCAGAUAUCGUCAAGAACACCAAUAGUGAAGACAGCUUACUAAACUUUAACUGACGCUGAGGCACGAAAGUGUGGGGAGCAAACAGG
rnacentral:rRNA from 1 species